rnacentral:tRNA from 1 species
GGGGUUGUAGUUCAGUGGUAGAGCACUUGCCUCACAUGCAUGAGGCACUGGGUUCAAUCCUCAGCACCA